rnacentral:tRNA from 1 species
GAAUAAAAAGCAAUUAAUUGCAAUCAGUUUCGACCUGAUAGUUAGAUAAUAAAUUUAUCCUUAUUCU